AUUCCAGCUCCAAUAGCGUAUAUUAAUGUUGUUGCAGUUAAAAAGCUCGUAGUUGAAUUUCUGGAACUAACAUUCAGUCCGAGGACAUUGUUUCUUGCGUACUGUUUGUGUUAGUUCCAUCUUAGUAGUGAUCUCUUCUGGCAUUAGGUUGUCGGGGGACGGAGCUGCUUCGUUUACUGUGAAUAAAAUAGAGUGUUUAAAGCAGGCAUUACGCCUUGAAUACUUCAGCAUGGAAUAAAAAGAUAGGACGAUGGUGCUAUUUUAUUGGUUUGCACACCACUUAAUGAUUAAUAGGGAUAGUUGGGGGUAUUCAUAUUUGAUUGUCAGAGGUGAAAUUCUUGGAUUUAUGAAAGAUGAACUUAUGCGAAAGCAUUUAUCAAGGAUGUUUUCAUCA
rnacentral:rRNA from 1 species